CUUGAAGGUUGAGAAUCAUAUGGAAAGUUGCAGGGACAUUUUGCUAUUUCUCUUGGACCUUCACUGUGAAUGUCAGGAGGAAGUGGAGAAAGGAUAAUUUCUCCCAUAAGGAACUGGACAAUCCUUCUCAUAUUAGGUCUGUAAUGAGGAUUGGGAUGAGAGCAAAGCAAUCCAAGACUAAGCACAAGCUGAGCUUCAUCUUUGUCAUACUCAUAUAAACUGGGGUCAAUAGCUCUGCAGAUCUGUCCUCGGUGAUGUAGAUCUCUAACCCAAUCUACCAAUACCAGUUCCUCGGGAUUCUUUUGGGGCUCUAUUGGCCUCCUUCCACAUGCUACUUCCAAAAUGAGUACUCCAUACCCAUAUACAUCUGUGCUUGUUCUUGCUUUCCCAGUCUUGGUGAGCUCAGGGGCCAUGUAGCCUAAUGUUCCCACAACGCUUGUUGUCUGUGGAUUGAUUCCAUGCUCGUAAGUCCUUGCAAGACCGAAAUCUCCAAGCUUUGGUUGGAGAUCUGCAUCUAUCAGGACAUUGCUUGGCUUUACAUCUCUGUGAACAACCUGCACCUCACUUUCUUCAUGGAGAUACAACAGCCCUUGGGCAACUCCAGUAAUGAUUUUGUAUCUUUGUUCCCAAGUUAGUAAUUUCUUCUUUUGAUGAUCAUUUUCAAACAGAAGCUUGUCUAGGCUUCCAUUUGGUAGAUAAUCAUACACAAUGAGGAGUUCAUCCUGCUUCCUGCACCACCCAUGUAAUUGCACCAAAUUUCUAUGCUUAAGCUGUGUCAUGCUUGUUAUUUCCGCUACAAAUUCUCUGAUUCCUUGCCUUGAAUCAGGAGCAACCCGCUUUACGGCUACUUCUAGUCCUGUGCUAGGGAUUACACCUCUGUAGACUUUACCAAAACCUCCAUACCCAAUAAGGGCAAGAGCUCCUAUAAUUGUCAAUAUAAAAAGAGAUGCACUUGCUAGAGUAAUACCUACUGCAAAGUGUUUUUUGUGCACCACCUUAAUAGAAGUAUUUGACCGAAUAAGUGGCACGGAUGAUUUUUCUAGCUCUUGUGCUGCUGCUCCUACUUUGAAGCUCCAACCAUGUAUAUUAUACUCAGCUACCAGCAGACCGUUGGAAGCAGAAAAACCUGCAUACAUAUAAUCAUCAAACACCAAGGAUAGGUCUAUGCGAAAUGAUAUCAAAG
rnacentral:sRNA from 1 species